CCUCCUCCUCUCAUCGCUCGAUUCCUCCUCUCCUCCCUGCCGCCGCCGCCUCCUCUUCUUCCCUAGACCAUGCCUCCUCCCCGCUCCUCGUUCUGCCGCCUCCUGCUGCUCCCGCACGGCAGCCGUCUUCCAUCCGGCGUAUCGCCUAGCGGAGCAAGUGGCGGAUCUGCCACCUCUCUCCUCGCCGGUAAGGAGAAGCCAGACUGGUGCUGGGGAGAGCCGGAGACGGGGACAAGAAGCAGUAGCUAGUGGUCGGCUCCUGCUGUGGUGGAGUGGAGCUGCAGGGAGAGGAAGGAGGCCGGCGACAGGGGAAAAGAACAUGCCGGCUCUGGUUCGUCAUGGAGAACACAACUGCUCGCCCUCCUCUGCCUCUUCUUCUCUGGUCCAUGGAUUCGUUGUGGGUCUCUAUUGGCGGUGUUGGGGAUUGUAAGGCUUGUUCCAUCUGGUUUUAGGAGCGUGUGUUGCUCCUAUAAAAUUUUCUCAGGUUUGGCAGCAAAUCAACUACUCUGAAUGAGGCCAUCCACAGCUUCUCACGAGUAACAUGCAUACGCGAACACGUUGAUCCAAGGGUUAUGUUUUGUGUAUUCUAUUUUCGUGGGCUAUGCUAUGUGUUUCAGUGCCAAUGACUCAACAAUCAUUUAUCAAUCAGUGUGUAUUUUGUUCUCAUCAGCAAUGAUGCAUAUACAUGUGGAACUUUGGGGUGUAAUAUUUAUUUCACUGCUUCAUGGUUCAUUGUAGCAAUGCUGGCUGUCAGGGAAGAUGCUGUUAAGCACAAAAAUUCAGUGCUCGGAGAAGUCUGCUACGCUAACUUGUGGGUUCAGAUCCUUAUUAUCAGAUCGUGUCACUCUUUCGACUCCAAAACCGAUGAGCUCUGGAAAACGGCUCCUGAUUGUGUGUGUGUAUUUUGUAGCUUCAUCGCCUUAUGGCAUCAAGAUGCAGCUGCUCAUAUGAUUUCACAGUUUGGCAAGUACCAUAGAAUUUGUGGUUGACUGUUUACAUCCAAAAUCAUCGUGUUAGUACUUAGUACUGAAGCUAAUUUCUACAUUGUUAAUAGAGUUGCCUUGAUGUUUCCCGUACUAGAAAGAUCUAUCUAUGAUCUAUUUUCUAACCAUCUAAGACUGUAGUCAUAUAUACUCCAUACAGUAACAAUAUAUGUUGUUGUCAGUUUGCUGAUUAUUUAUCUCUCCCAGCUUGUUUUUAUGUCUAGUAAGAUUGCAUAAGAAGCUGACAUGUAAAUGUAGAUCAUGCAGCUUUAUGGACAUGCAUCAGAUUCAUAUUAUAAUAAAGUUUUGCCUUCAUACUAUAAAUCCAUUCAUUGGAGCUAUAUAUCAUAUACAGUACCAUUUAGGCUGGUUCAUGAGUAAAAUGUUGUUUUUAAUAAAUUUAAGGUUGUUCCUUGUUUGCUUUUUGUUUGCUAGCACUAAUGCUGAUGUAAGAAAACAAAGUAUAGUUCAUAUUUUAAAUCAUUUAUGUCCAUAUCGUCUGAUGCUAAUGUAUGAACUUUAUAUGGUUUGGUUUAAACGAUAUCAAUAAAAGAAUAUACAUUGUGGAAAUUAAAUAAAUCCUACAAAUCGAAUUAGGAAAUUAUUGUUACUGGCAUUCGACGAGGAAAAGGAGACCCCGGAGGAAGUUACUGCGUCGUUGUGGUGGCUCGAUCGAUGCGGAUUUUGAUGUUCAUUGUUUUGAUCUCGACAUGGAUUGGGUAGUGGAGAAUUGGUACUGGGGAUAGAGAAAUUGUUAUUUGUGUUGCUGAUUUUUUAUUUGGGCAUGGAUGUGAUCAAGUCUCGAGACUCAUGAUUCUUUUUCAGUGUCAAUCAAUGGUUUCCUUAAUUGCAAGACAGCGACUCUCCAUGUUAUUGAUCUGGUACAAUGUUGUUGUGCGUGAGGACGACUCAGGGAAAGGUGCAACAAGGCAGUGCUCGCGUUGCAGUGGACUGGAGUCCGCCAUCACCACCGACCAUUGCUCGCCGAUCGUCGUCCCUCAUCCCCCGUCUAGAUGUUUGCGGAUCAGGCGAAGAAGAGAGGUAGGAUCUUGAGGAAGAGUCAGGAACAUGGUGAACCUCUUGGCCAUCGCAACCCGACAGCUUGGGCGACAAUGAACAGGGGUAUUUCUAGCCCAUCAAUCUACAGGGCUCAGGUCCUGCACAUGGUGUUUGCUAGAGAAAAUCAAAAGAAGCAACCUGAAUGUCAAUGGGGUGAUGGCAGUGACAUAUUUAACAUGAGGUGUUGCAUCUAGGUUCUACAGGAUUCGCUGAUGGAUGUGUGAAUGUGAGCAAUCAGGAUAUAAAUUUGUUCCAACAACAAGACAUGCUGAUUAGAUUCAGGAAUAUGUUGGUACGUGUCAGCUUUGCAGCUUCAAGUUGUAGGACUAAUAUUUGGCACCUGACAUGAGGUUGAGAGAUACCAUGAUUUAAUUACAUAUGACAUGCCUUGUGCAGGGCACAUAAAAUAUAUCUGAUAUCUCUUUUUUGUUAUGUAUAUUUUUGUCCUUUCUACCCUAAUUCAGUAGCAUCAUUUUUUUAUGUUACUUCUUUAUAUGGUUGUUGCUUUCACUAUCUGAAAUAUAUGUGAAAUGAAUUUGAGUUA